rnacentral:lncRNA from 1 species
CGACUGAGCACCGGAACGCAGUCCUCUUGCAGUAGCCGCCCACCUCUUGGGCACGCAUUCCGUGCCUGAAGCUUUGCACGCCGGUUUCUCAUUUAAUUUGCGGCGCAGCCGGCCUGAGUUGAAGGUGCUGUUUCCUCCAGGUUUUUUGCGCCUUGCCCAUUGCAUCGGAUCGUUAAGGUCCCUGUGCUCGACUCCAGAACACAUGCUUUAACCACCAAGCUGGGCUGGCUCUUUGUUAUAAUGCAGAGAAGUUGGCCUCGUAGUAGGUAGUGACCUUUUCACUUGGCUGUCACGGGCCCACCUGAAACUCCUUUCUCAUACACUACCCGAUGAAGUUGGGAAUUACUGAAGCACAGUCGCGGGAAGUUCGCCGAGCUUAGAUUAAUUGUGCACUCACCCCUCUCCCCCACGGAGCCACCGUGAGUCAGAGCUUCACUCAUGUCUUGGAGAACUUGCCGUUUGUAUUCCCAAGAUUUUGGGUAGCAUAGAGCCUGGGCGUAACUGGUGCCCGAAAAAAUCUGAUAGCAAGAGACCGGAGUUGUCCCUGAUGGUCGAGGGAGGAGAAGGGGCUGCACGUCCCUGAAUGGCAGGGUUUGGUCCAGUAGAACCUUUCUGCUCUGCAGCAUGGCUCUUACCUCAGCAAGCAUGCUGGCCUCCUCCCUGGUCACUCAGAUAGCAUCGACAGUGACCAUGGCCAAAGCUGGCGGCGUAGCCUCUGGCACCCUCCUGGCUGGCCUUUCAUCUCAAGGAGCCACGCUGUUAUCCCAGGCUGUGCUGGCCCCUGUGGCAUCCACUGUCGGACCCUUGCUGGGGUCACUGAGUGUUGGCUCCCUCCUGUCAGGGUCCUCUGCUGUCACCUUGGCUGCUACUCCAGUUGGAGGUAACUGGCUCUGAAUAACAGAUACCGCUUGUCGGGCUCCCAGUGCAUGGUGGAGAAGGGUGC